UAUAAAACAAUGACAGAAAAAAAGUAAGUAGUAUGGACUCCGUAAGGUAGAGACAAAUGGCGUGGCUGAAACCAUUUGAAAGGAAUCAGAUACUGGUGAAUAUUCACUUCUCGAGUUGACUUUUGGCUAUUGCAAAUUGUAAUGAAAGAAGUUCCGGCAUUAGCCGUUAUCUAAAUGAAGUGCAGUCUAGUUGCUAUUAUGCAAUUAACUGAACAAGGGUGGUACCGCGAUUCUAAGACCUCGUCCCUUUC
rnacentral:ncRNA from 1 species